AAUCAACGCUGGCGGCGUGCCUCAGACAUGCAAGUCGAACGCGAAAGUUUCCUUCGGGAGACAAGUAGAGUGGCGCACGGGUGAGUAACACGUAGGUAAUCUACCUUCGGAUGGGGAAUAACAAUCGGAAACGGUUGCUAAUACCGCAUAAUGCAGCGGCACCUAAUGGUGACAGUUGUUAAAGCGGGGGAUCGAAAGACCUCGCGUCUGAAGAGGAGCCUGCGGCGGAUUAGCUAGUUGGUAAGGUAAUGGCUUACCAAGGCGACGAUCCGUAACCGGCCUGAGAGGGCGGUCGGUCACACUGACACUGACAUACGGGUCAGACUCCUACGGGAGGCAGCAGUCGGGAAUUUUGGGCAAUGGGCGAAAGCCUGACCCAGCAACGCCGC
rnacentral:rRNA from 1 species